GUUAUAGAUGGUGGUGUAGAUGAUGCUGGGUCUAGUCAGGUUAUAGAUGGUGGUGUAGAUGAGGCUGGGUCUAGUCAGGUUAUAGAUGGUGGUGGUGUAGAUGAGGCUGGGUCUAGUCAGGUUAUAGAUGGUGGUGGUGUAGAUGAGGCUGGGUCUAGUCAGGUUAUAGAUGGUGGUGUAGAUGAGGCUGGGUCUAGUCAGGUUAUAGAUGGUGGUGUAGAUGAGUCUGGGUCUAGUCAGGUUAUAGAUGGUGGUGUAGAUGAGGCUGGGUCUAGUCAGGUUAUAGAUAGUGGUGUAGAUGAGGCUGGGUCUAGUCAGGUUAUAGGUGGUGGUGUAGAUGAGGCUGGGUCUAGUCAGGUUAUAGAUGGUGGUGUAGAUGAGGCUGGGUCUAGUCAGGUUAUAGAUGGUGGUGUAGAUGAGGCUGGGUCUAGUCAGGUUAUAGAUGGUGGUGGUGUAGAUGAGGCUGGGUCUAGUCAGGUUAUAGGUGGUGGUGUAGAUGAGGCUGGGUCUAGUCAGGUUAUAGAUGGUGGAGUAGAUGAGGCUGGGUCUAGUCAGGUUAUAUAUGGUGGUGGUGUAGAUGAGGCUGGGUCUAGUCAGGUUAUAGAUGGUGGUGUAGAUGAGGCUGGGUCUAGUCAGGUUAUAGAUGGUGGUGUAGAUGAGGCUGGGUCUAGUCAGGUUAUAGAUAGUGGUGUAGAUGAGGCUGGGUCUAGUCAGGUUAUAGAUGGUGGUGUAGAUGAGGCUGGGCCUAGUCAGGUUAUAGAUGGUGGUGGUGUAGAUGAGGCUGGGUCUAGUCAGGUUAUAGAUGGUGGUGUAGAUGAGGCUGGGUCUAGUCAGGUUAUAGAUGGUGGUGUAGAUGAGGCUGGGUCUAGUCAGGUUAUAGAUGGUGGUGUAGAUGAGGCUGGGUCUAGUCAGGUUAUAGGUGGUGGUGUAGAUGAGGCUGGGUCUAGUCAGGUUAUAGAUGGUGGUGUAGAUGAGGCUGGGUCUAGUCAGGCUAUAGAUGGUGGUGUAGAUGAGGCUGGGUCUAGUCAGGUUAUAGAUGG
rnacentral:lncRNA from 1 species